rnacentral:lncRNA from 1 species
AGUACCUGAUGCGUAGUUAAUGCUCAACAAGGGUGAGCUACUGUCGAGAUACAUAACAUGUAAAUGUUGAAUCUGCAUCUCACUUGAAAUGGUUGGGUUUGGAGAAACGGAUAGUCAAGCUUAUUGGAAUUAUUGUUAAAAGUGUUCUUUCUUGGAACCAUCUGCCAAGCUGUGAGGAAGCUCCAGAGCCAUAUGACAAGACCUGAUGGAGGAUAACUGAGGACUUUGGCCAACAACCCCAGCUGAGCUCCAGUUGGAAUGUGAAUGAGGCCAUUUUGAGUGUUCCAGCCUAUUGGAGCCCUAGCCAACACUCUACAAACUAGAACUGCCUGAUUGACCCGCAGAAUCAUAAGAAAUAAAGUAAUUUGAAGGCCUUCCCUGACUUAAAGUGGAUGCUGCUUUGGAAAGCACUGGAAAAAUGGAUCCUGUCUUUCUUAGCCAAGGACUGGUCUCUUUUCUCCAAUGUGUCCCUAACAGAGUGGUGAGGCUGGCUCUUCCCACCAGUACAGACAGAAUUUUCAAUUCACAAAUCAUCUGAAAAACAGGAAAUUUUGGAGAAACAUGCUUAUGAUAACAAACAAGGGAUCUAUCGUGUGGUAUAGAAGUUUACACAAAGAGGCAUCUGAUUUUAAGUUUUUGUUUUUUUUUUUUUUUUUUUUUUUACCGUUCUGGGCUUCUGGCUGCAUUCUAGGAAGAUCAUUCCUUAAAAGAAAUAGCCAUAUGGCUUAUAAGGAUUGUGUGUCCAGUGUUCAGAAGAGUGCCUGGCACAUCAAAAGUGCUGAGUUAAUGUUUAUUGGGUAAAUGAAUACAGUUUUGGGAAUCAUGAACAUUGAGAACCUAGGCCCAGACAAUUCUAAGGGACUAUAUCUUAAGACUAUGUGUCUUCUGCAGUUCUUUGCAUAGAGUCAACGUUGAAGGACAAGCAACUUCAAAUUUCCAAGCAACAAAAUUAUGUUCGGGUGGUUUUCUGAAAGCGAGAUCUUAAGAACCACCUGUAUCAGAAUCCCAUGAAGAGCUUGUUUAGUGUGCAAAUUUACAGAUUGUCCCCCCUCAGAAAUGCUCAUUUAGGAGUUCCUGUCCUUUGCGGGGACAUGGAUGAAGCUGGAAACCAUCAUUCUCAGCAAACUAACACAGGAACAGAAAACCAAACACUGCAUGUUCUCACUCAAAAGUGGGAGUUGAACAAUGAGAACACAUGGACACAGGGAGGGGAACGUCACACACCAGGGCCUGUCGGGGGUGGGAGGUAAGGGGAGGGAGAGGAUUAGGACAAAUACCUAAUGCAUGUGGGGCUUAAAACCUAGAUGAUGGGUUGAUAGGUGCAGCAAACCACCAUGGACAUGUAUACCUAUGUAACAAACUUGCAUGUUCAGUACAUGUAUCCCAGAACUUAAAGUAAAAUAUAAAACAAUAAUAAAAA